UACUUAGUUCCAUUUUGCCGAGUGUCAGUCUGUGAGGGCGCCAAAACGCUGUCCCCCAAAAAUACAUGGGAGUGAACAGGCCCUGUAUUAUAUUCCUAUUUCCUAUGUCCAUGUCCAUGCGUCGGAUCGCUGUCGACCUGUCGUUUGUGCUUUCGCUUUUGCUUUCGUUUCGUUGCCCAUUUUAGAAUGAAAAUCUUCUGUACAAUAUGUCACGAUCUACUGGCACCAACCGAAGACAUUUUUUUCACUCAUUGCGGACAUGUGUUUCAUCAUCGCUGUCUAUUCCAGUGGUUCGAAAGGUCGGAGAUCUGUCCACAAUGUUGUGCCAGAACGACAAAAAAUAGAAUCUAUAAGGCCUACUUCACGGUUUCGAAUAACGAGGACAAUUUGCAAGAGAGGAUUAAUGGCCUGAAACUUCAAGAUCUACUGAACGAAAGGAACAUCAGGCAUUACACUUCAAAAAAUGCGGUUUUGAAGAAGCAGAACGCUGAUCUCAGGCUGCAAGUGCGACUGGUGGAAAACAAAAUCAGGUGUAAAAAUUCGAUUAUUUGUCACACAAAGAAUAGGAUAAGAAAUUUGAAUAAGGUGCUUCAAGAGUAUGAAGUUCUGAAAAAGAAGUUAUCAGAGAAGAAAAGAGAGGUGAAACAGUUUCGAGAGAUAUAUAAAACGCCAUCGGUGUUUACGUUUAAGGAUUUGCGGGAUAUACUUAGAACACAUGAUCGCAACAGUAUAAUUCAUCAUUUUUUUCAUCUGAAAGAGGCUUAUUUCAGGGCAAUGAAACUGAGAAAAUGAAAACAAUUCAAAUCAAACUCAAUUAUCCACAAGGGCAGCUUUCAAGGCACCGCGGUUCCCUAGAAUAAGAGCGAUCUAAAAAAGUCAGCAUAGGAGUUCUCCAAAGCACACAGUUGCUUAGCUACCAUAUACUCUGAGAAUACCCAUACGAUGCAAAUUUUAUGACUCUAAAAUAUUCUCGUGAAACUAUGGCUACGAAAUGACGUUUCAUCUUAUGUCAUUUUGUUAUGGGCAAAGUUUUACUGGCCGAACAUAUAUAUCGACAUGUUGGGGGAAUUGCCGAUAGAUUUGAAGAUAAUUACCACCCACCCAGCGUCCAAAGGCUGGCUAAUGUGUCGGUGCUGGCGUUAUGGACGUUUUGAAGAUUGGUGCCCGGAAUAAGACUGGCGCAUGUCGUGAUGCUACAAUCUGUCAUGGUUGGUGGAUCCGUGCUAAGGUUCUUCCUCUUGAACUCUUCGCUGAUCCUGCUAAUUGUAAGAGGAUCUGGUCUCGCAAAGCUGUCAUAUAGACUGGGGUCGCUAUGCGACAGCUAAUGCCUCGGCUGAUGCGCUCUAUAAUGAUUCUUCAUUUUCGGUUUCAUGCCUGUAACCACAAACAUCUACUAUGACAUAUGUAUGACAGAAUUAACUAAAAUUUUAAUUUAUUUUUUUUCUGAGAAAGCAGAACAAAUCUAUAUGAAAUUAUUACAUAUUUUUAUUUUUGUUCUUAGACUUGCUAAUGCUUCAUGUAUUGUAACAAUGUAAUUAAAAUGCGUUAAAAUGUGUAGAGAGGAAAAGACGAAUAAAUUAUAAAUAUUUUUAUAAUUUA